UGUGUUCUAUCCUUCAUUCCACCGGAGUCUGUAUCUGUAUUUAACCAGAUUUCAGUGGUGUGAAGUGUAAGAGACAUGG
rnacentral:miRNA from 1 species